rnacentral:rRNA from 1 species
AUACGUAGGGGGCGAGCGUUGUCCGGAAUGAUUGGGCGUAAAGGGCGCGUAGGCGGCCCGGUAAGUCUGGAGUGAAAGUCCUGUUUUUAAGAUGGGAAUUGCUUUGGAAACUGGCGGGCUUGAGUGCCGGAGAGGGUAUUGGGAUUCCCGGGGUAGCGGUGAAAUGCGUAGAGGUCGGGAGGAACACCAGUGGCGAAGGCGGGUAACUGGACUGCAACUGACGCUGAGGCGCGAAAGUGUGGGGAGCAAACAGGAUUAGAUUCCCUGGUAGUCCACACUGUAAACGAUGAGUGCUAGGUGUAGGAGGUAUCGACCCCUUCUGUGCCGGAGUAAACGCAAUAAGCACUCCGCCUGGGGAGUACGGUCGCAAGAUUAAAACUCAAAUGAAUUGACGGGG